rnacentral:rRNA from 1 species
AUUGAACGCUGGCGGUAUGCUUAACACAUGCAAGUCGAACGGUAACAGGCCUUCGGGCGCUGACGAGUGGCGGACGGGUGAGUAACGCGUAGGAAUCUGCCUCAUAGUGGGGGACAACGUGGGGAAACUCACGCUAAUACCGCAUACGCCUACGGGGAAAGCGGGGGAGUCUUCGGACCUCGCGCUAUGAGAUGAGCCUGCGUUAGAUUAGCUAGUUGGUAGGGUAAAGGCCUACCAAGGCGACGAUCUAUAGCUGGUCUGAGAGGACGAUCAGCCACACUGGGACUGAGACACGGCCCAGACUCCUACGGGAGGCAGCAGUGGGGAAUAUUGGACAAUGGGCGCAAGCCUGAUCCAGCAAUACCGCGUGUGUGAAGAAGGCCUUAGGGUUGUAAAGCACUUUCAAUUGGGAGGAAAACCUAGCCGGUCAAUACCCGGCAGCUUGACAUUACCUUUAGAAGAAGCACCGGCUAACUCCGUGCCAGCAGCCGUCGGUAAU